UGGUACAUUUUCUUAUAAUGUAUAUCAAAGAUACCAAAACAUCAAUGCAUGUUCACUUGGUUAAGUCAUUUUAAAUCUUAUUUAUUAUUAUUUCAUUGCACUUUUAAAGAUUUUUAUAAAUUUGUGUAACACAGUCUUAUGUUCUUUACUUUUUGUCAUCAUCUAAAAUUUAUUUUUCAAAUGUAAUUUUAAAAUGAGACUACUGGUUAUGUAGCCUUUAAACAUACCAUGUAGAGGUAUUACAUCUAUGAACAUUCAUCUCUCAAU
rnacentral:lncRNA from 1 species